AGAUCAAAGGUCAAAGUUUUGAUCGUCAGUAAAAGUUCACCAAGAUGGUGUUUGGCAGGCUAUUGAAAUUGAAUAGACUCACACGCCAAAGUACUGGCUCAAGAAGCUUCAUAACAUGGUCUAACCAGAAGAUAAAGUUCUACGCGGGUACCCUGACAAUGUGGGGUGUUGUGCUCGGAGUGGUGGGAGUGUACAUGACCGAAUGGCAACUCAUCAUGGGGAAGAUUCCAUACGUGAAAGAUCGCUUUGAGAAGAGAGACUAAUAUUGAACUACGAAUGUGAACAGUGCAGUGUAUGUGUUAGGGAAGCUAUAAUGUUGUAGCUGACUUGAUAUCCAACCUUUAUUUAUCUUUGAUAAAAUGUAGUCAAUGGUAGUCAAUGAAGAAAAUUUUGUUUAAGAA